GGAGCGUUCUGUAAGCCUGCGAAGGUGUGCUGUGAGGCAUGCUGGAGGUAUCAGAAGUGCGAAUGCUGACAUAAGUAACGAUAAAGCGGGUGAAAAGCCCGCUCGCCGGAAGACCAAGGGUUCCUGUCCAACGUUAAUCGGGGCAGGGUGAGUCGACCCCUAAGGCGAGGCCGAAAGGCGUAGUCGAUGGGAAACAGGUUAAUAUUCCUGUACUUGGUGUUACUGCGAAGGGGGGACGGAGAAGGCUAUGUUGGCCGGGCGACGGUUGUCCCGGUUUAAGCGUGUAGGCUGGUUUUCCAGGCAAAUCCGGAAAAUCAAGGCUGAGGCGUGAUGACGAGGCACUACGGUGCUGAAGCAACAAAUGCCCUGCUUCCAGGAAAAGCCUCUAAGCAUCAGGUAACAUCAAAUCGUACCCCAAACCGACACAGGUGGUCAGGUAGAGAAUACCAAGGCGCUUGAGAGAACUCGGGUGAAGGAACUAGGCAAAAUGGUGCCGUAACUUCGGGAGAAGGCACGCUGAUAUGUAGGUGAAGUCCCUUGCGGAUGGAG
rnacentral:rRNA from 1 species